UGGACGAUGGGUCUGAUCCCGGCGGGCGUCAGAUAGCGCUGGCACACCGUGCUCUCUUCCCGCGGCGAGUAGGUGAGGAGCGUCUCUCCCUCGAAGUGGUCAGGCCGCACGAACGCCUCGGUCGCGAGCCGGUGGCGCGGGUGCACGAUGACGACCACCUCGUCGUCGAACAGCGUCGUGGUCUGGAUUCGGCGAUCGCGAAUCGGGUCGCUGACGAUGGCGACGUCGAGGCGGCCGUCGAGCAGGUGUGGCACCGGCGCGCCUGUGGCCGCGGCAUCAAUCCGCACCUCGAUCUCGGGAUGAUCGGUCCGGUAUCGGUUCAGGAGCGAAGGGAGCCAGUGGUAGCACGUGUAGCACUCCGUGGUCAGGCGCAGCACGCCGCGGCGCGAUGACGCCAUCUCGCGAAUCGCGUAUUCGGCCUGCUCGAUCGUCGCGAGCGCUUCCUGUGCGGAUCCGAGGAGCCGCUCACCAGCCGUGGUGAGCACCAUGCGCUUGCCGAUCCGGUGAAACAAUGCGACACCAAGGCGCGACUCGAUGUCGCGCAGCUGGUGACUGAGCGCCGAUUGCGUGAGGUGCAGCGACGCGCUUGCCUUCGUGAGGCUGCCGGAUGCGGCGACUUCGCGCACCAGGCGCAGAUGGCGAACUUCGAGAUCCAUGGGCUCAUUAUCAGCUCUUGCGAACAUCGUCGCGCAACACGGCGACGUUGAUGAAGGCCGUUCAUCAUCAGGAUGAGAACAUCGCGCUGGAGCAGUGAGUCGCGCGGCCAUACCAUCGGCCCUUGGCGCUCUCCUCCAGCGUGUCGAUGCUCGGGACGGCGAUCCUUCUUGCCGGAGCGGCUGCGGGACCGCGAGCGACCAUCGUCGUCGAUCUCACUCUGCUGCUGCCGAUGCCGGCGCCGCGACUCCACUCGCUGAUGGACGAGAGCAGCGCAAUCUGGAAGCCGCACGGCAUCGUCCUCGAAUGGAUCACGACGGAGGGGACCACGCCAGGGGCAUGCGUGCGUCUCCGCGUGCUCGACGAGGGGCGACAGUCACGCCUGGCUUCCGGCCGCCGCCUCGGUGCCACGGUCUUCCCGCGAGGCAGUCAAGGUCCCGCAAGCACCCUCAGGCUUUCAGUCGAUGCGACGGUCCGGAUAGUCGACAGGCUGGUCUGGGAGAAUCGACCGAUGGCGCAUUGGCCGAGGAGCCUGCGUGACGAUCUCGUUGGCCGGGCGCUUGGUCGCGUGCUCGCGCACGAGAUCGGUCAUUUCGUCCUCGGCGUCCCGUUCCACACGGAUGACGGGCUCAUGCGGCCCGAAUUCCGGGCCGAUCAGCUCGUGGCGGCAACGCGUCAUCCCUUUGCGCUCACAGGAGAACUCGUGCCGCUGUUGCGGGCGCGCGUGAGCCAGCUCGCUGGGCCCGGGGCGGAUCCCUGGAGCGACGGCAGCGUACCGCUUCAGCCCGAUGCCUCGACGGCUGCCGCUGAGUGCGGCAGGCUCGGCAUCGACCUAAGCUUGGACGGGGGCCACGUUCGCCGCGCGCCUCGUGCUCGUUCAGAACCUCACGCCGAAGUUGAGCCGCACGGUGCGCGGGCUCGUGUAAGCGAAGCGGCUGAGAGCCUGCCCGAACUGCGGAUGGAGCCGCCAGUGCACGCCCUCGACCGGGGUGUCGACGAACGGGUUGAACGUCUGCACACCCGGGGCGACGGGGUCGCUGUCUAGCACCAGCACGCUGUUGUUGAUCUGGCGCAUGUCCGAACCGCCGCCGUUGCUGAACACGGUUCCGCCGCAGGCGCACAGCUGGUACACGUUGAAGAUAUUCAAGACCUCACCGUGGAAGAACACCUCUACGCUGCGAGGGAACCGGUAGCUGUAGUUGAGCGAGAAGUCGGUGCGGUACUGCGCCUCGGUCCUGAAGCGGUCGCGCUCGAAGAAGUAGUACUCCACCGCCGCGGGGGGGAUGGCAUAGCCAGGGUUCGGCACGUAGGGCCUGGGAUCGAUUGUGGUGACGCCUGUUCCAGGCGCCGUCCCCGGGACACCGCCUGACGUGAACGGGAUCCCGGAGGCCGCCGAAAACAGCAGUCCAAGGUCGACCUGGCCUGCCGGUUCAGGUACGGGCACUCGGUACGUACCCCAGACUCGCGCACGGUGCCUCUGGUCGGAACCGAGAUUGCCCUCGGGCGCGUCCCAGCGUGCUUCCCGGUACUCCGGGUACGAGAACAGCUGUGACGUGAUCGGGCCGCUCGUGGGGUUCUCGCCGU
rnacentral:misc_RNA from 1 species